rnacentral:rRNA from 1 species
GAAUAUUGGACAAUGGGGGGAACCCUGAUCCAGCCAUGCCGCGUGUGUGAAGAAGGCCUUUUGGUUGUAAUGCACUUUAAGCGAGGAGGAGGCUACUUUGAUUAAUACUCUAGGAUAGUGGACGUUACUCGCAGACUACGCACCGGCUAACUCUGUGCCAGCUGCCGCGGUAAUACAGAGGGUGCAAGCGUUAAUCGGAUUUACUGGGCUGAAAGCGCGCGUAGGUGGCCAAUUAAGUCAAAUGGGAAAUCCCCGAGCUUAACUUGGGAAUUGCAUUCGAUACUGGUUGGCUAGAGUAUGGAAGAGGAUGGUAGAAUUCCAGGUGUAGCGGUGAAAUGCGUAGAGAUCUGGAGGAAUACCGAUGGCGAAGGCAGCCAUCUGGUCUAAUACUGACACUGAGGUGCGAAAGCAUGGGGAGCAAACA